UUCGAUGAAAAUUUCGAAAUAUUAAUUUUAGACAAAAAGACCCUAUGAAGCUUUAUAGCUUAAGUCUCCUAUUAUCAAAAGUUAUUUUUUUGGGGUAAAAAAUAAUUUUACUAUUUUUUUUUUUAACUGUUCCUGAUCCUAAUUUGAACCAAGAAGAAGCUCCUCUAGGGAUAACAGCAUAAUCUGGG
rnacentral:rRNA from 1 species